rnacentral:lncRNA from 1 species
UACAUAGCAAGUCAUUCAAACAUGUAGCAUUAAGUCGAAGACUCGUACAUCGACAAUUCUAUAUACUGGAUACGAUUCGCCUAAGCCUGAAAGGCAAAAAGUGAGUUGUCUCUCUUCAAAUUAAUGAUAAAUAACAAAUAAUCAAAAAUUUUCUUUUCAAUUUUCUGCACUCUGAUCUUCACUCUCUGGUUAGCAAUCUGUCAUUCACAUGGACUGACAUGUUUCUAAAUCUUUAGGGCAAAUGAAAAAUAUCAUCAAUCUUGUUGUGGUAGAAUUUUGGGGGCGAGCAACCAACAGUCAAAAUUGCUCUUACGCUCAGAAUUGGUUUCGGGCAACUUGCACAAGAGAACAAAUAUAACCAGCUAGGGCGAGGCCACUCAAACUCCCUCCGAUGUGGAGAUCAAACCGAGGAUAAUAAGCUAGACAGAGCAAAGCACCAGAGCUCUCAGAGUGAGUAAACAAGGUUUUUUCAUACCUCUCACUGAUGAGGGAGAGACCUUUUUAUAGAUGAAUAAUGGAGAGCCGUGUAAGGAGAUUACAGCGUGAUCCUCGGACGGUUAAGUAUGGAAGAAGAUACUAGAGUAAUAUUAGGAAAAUGCUAUAUAGAAAAUAAACCGCGAUUAUAGGCGACAUGACAGAGAAGUCUCACAAAGACAGAUUCUUCAAGCAUGUGAGAUAGAUAACCUCGCCCCUCGGCAAUGUUGAGAAC